GCUAAUAAGAAGUAGAAGAUUAAUGAGAGAAGAGAAAGUACUUCACAUUCGGAACGUGAAUCAAAUGUAGAUCUUUGCGAAAGCAGGUAGUACUUACUUCCUCAUAUGAACUACCAAAGAAAAUGGAAAAACAAAGAUUGUCUUUACAUUUCAAUUUGAAUAAAGGAACAUAAUUCCGUAUGAGAAAUGGAUGAAUGUUUUGUUUGACAAAACAUUGUUCUUUAUUAAUGAAUGAUUAGAUUAUUGUAAUAUAAUUGAUUAUUGAUAGGAGCAUAUUUAUGCGACUUAAUUGGCUUGUUCUUGUGCGUUUACGUUGUGUUUCUUUAGU
rnacentral:lncRNA from 1 species